rnacentral:pre_miRNA from 1 species
AUUACCCAGGGAUCUUGUUAAAAUACACAUUCUGAUUCAGCAGGUCUGGAAUGAACUCUGAGAUUCUGAGUUUGUAGCAAGCUCCCAGGUGAUGCCAA